rnacentral:rRNA from 1 species
AUUGAACGCUGGCGGAAUGCUUUACACAUGCAAGUCGAACGGUAGAGGGGGCAACCCCUCGAGAGUGGCGAACGGGUGAGUAAUAUAUCGGAACGUGCCCAGUCGCGGGGGAUAACGUAGCGAAAGUUACGCUAAUACCGCAUACGAUCUAAGGAUGAAAGCGGGGGAUCGCACGACCUCGCGCGAUUGGAGCGGCCGAUAUCGGAAUAGGUAGUUGGUGGGGUAAAGGCUCACCAAGCCAACGAUCUGUAGCUGGUCUGAGAGGACGACCAGCCACACUGGAACUGAGACACGGUCCAGACUCCUACGGGAGGCAGCAGUGGGGAAUUUUGGACAAUGGACGCAAGUCUGAUCCAGCCAUUCCGCGUGCAGGAUGAAGGCCCUCGGGUUGUAAACUGCUUUUGUACGGAACGAAAAGGUCUCUCUUAAUACGGGGGACUCAUGACGGUACCGUAAGAAUAAGCACCGGCUAACUACGUGCCAGCCGCCGCAGUAA